rnacentral:rRNA from 1 species
AACGAACGCUGGCGGCAGGCCUAACACAUGCAAGUCGAACGAGAAGCCACCUUCGGGUGGUGGACAGUGGCAGACGGGUGAGUAACGCGUGGGAACGUGCCUUUCGGUUCGGGAUAACCCAGGGAAACUUGGGCUAAUACCGGAUACGCCCUUCGGGGGAAAGAUGCAUUGCCGAAAGGUCGGCCCGCGUCGGAUUAGCUAGUUGGUGGGGUAAAAGCCUACCAAGGCGACGAUCCAUAGCUGGUCUGAGAGGAUGAUCAGCCACAUUGGGACUGAGACACGGCCCAAACUCCUACGGGAGGCAGCAGUGGGGAAUAUUGGACAAUGGGCGCAAGCCUGAUCCAGCCAUGCCGCGUGAGUGAUGAAGGCCUUAGGGUUGUAAAGCUCUUUCACCGAUGAAGAUAAUGACGGUAGUCGGAGAAGAAGCCCCGGCUAACUUCGUGCCAGCCGCCGCGGUAACAC